GGGAAGCUGGGGGGAGGAGCGGGGGGAAUGAGGAGGGGGCUAGAGUUGUGUGGAGUUACGGGGCGUAAAGCGAGCGUAGGCGGAGCAGAAAGUUGUGGGGGAAAUCCCGGUGCUCAACCCCGGAACUGCCUGCAAAACUAUUGGGCUGGAGUUCGAGAGAGGUGAGUGGAAUUCCGAGUGUAGAUGUGAAAUUCGUAGAUAAUCGGAGGAACACCAGUGGCGAAGGCGGCUCACUGGCUCGAUACUGACGCUGAGGUGCGAAAGCGUGGGGAGCAAACAGGAUUAGAUACCCGAGUAGUC
rnacentral:rRNA from 1 species